rnacentral:rRNA from 1 species
UACGUAGGGGGCAAGCGUUGUCCGGAAUCAUUGAGCGUAAAGCGCGUGUAGGCGGCUCGAUAAGUCUGCUGUGAAAGUCCAGGGCUCAACCCUGGAAUGCCGGUGGAAACUGUCGAGCUAGAGUCCGGAAGAGGCGAGUGGAAUUCCUGGUGUAGCGGUGAAAUGCACAGAUAUCAGGAGGAACACCAAUGGCGAAGGCAGCUCGCUGGGACGGUACUGACGCUGAGACGCGAAAGCGUGGGGAGCAAACAGG